rnacentral:rRNA from 1 species
UAAGAUAUAAAUUAAAAUAAAACCUGCUCAGUGUCAAGAAUAAACAGCUGCAGUUUUACUGUACUAAGGUAGCACAAUCAUUUGCUUUAUAAUUAAAAGAUAGUAUGAACGGUUCAAUGCCUUUAAAUCACGUUUCAAAAAUACAACUUAAAUUAAGUUUAAAGUAAAAACUCUUUUACAAAAAAGUAGGACGACAAGACCCUGACAAACUAAGAUACUUUUAGUUGGGGAAACAAAUUAAAAAAUAUUUAAUAAUUUCACUACAAAACUUUAACAUAAAAUAAAGAUAAGUUACUGCAGGGAUAACAGCGCUAUCCCCCUUAAGAGACCUAAUCCAAAGGGGGGAUUACGACCUCGAUGUUGAAUUAAGGUCCCUAAAAGAUGCAACAAUCUUAAUAAAGGCGGUCUGUUCGACCAAUAAAUCCUU